rnacentral:tRNA from 1 species
GCCGCGGUGGUCUAGCGGUUAGAACGCUGGCCUUGUAAUCCUGGGGUCUCGGGUUCGAUUCCCGACUGUGCCC